GGUAUUUUGACCGUGCAAAGGUAGCAUAAUCAUUAGUUUUUUAAUUGAAAGCUGGAAUGAAAGGUUGGAUGAAAAAUAAGCUGUCUCUAUUUAAUUUUAUUAGAACUUUAUUUUUAAGUAAAAAAGCUUAAAUUUUAAUAGAAGACGAGAAGACCCUAUAGAGUUUUAUUUAUUUUUUAAAUAAGAUUAAUAGAAUUAAUUAUUUUUAUUUAAAAAAUGAAUUUAGUUGGGGUGAUUGAAAAAUUUAAUAAACUUUUUUUAUAUAUACACAUUAAUAUAUGAUUAAUUGAUCCUUAAUUUAAGAUUAAAAGAUAAAAUUACCUUAGGGAUAACAGCGUAAUUUUUUUUGAGAGUUCUAAUCGAAAGAAAAGAUUGCGACCUCGAUGUUGGAUUAAAAUAAAAUUUUGGUGUAGAAGCUAAAA
rnacentral:rRNA from 2 species